AGCCUAAAACUUUAGUCCUACAUCCUCUCAUUCACGGACGGCCCAAUAUAUUUGGAGGCCUAAGACAAAUUCAGUGAAUGAAACCUCAUUUUUUUUAAUAAUAAAAAAUUUUAAUAAGUACAAAAUACUUUAAAAAAUAAUAUGAAAAUAGAUAGCUGUUAAGUAUACUAUUUCAACAAAAAUGCAUGAUUCUAGCAAAGGUAGACAAAAAGCCUCUUUAGUUUAAUAUAAUUCUUGAAUGGAAGCAUAGAAAAGUAAUUACUCUAAAAGAAGGCUCAUGAAACUAAUUAAAUAACUGGGAUGAUGCUUGACAAUACUGUUUACCAUGUCAAGCAAGAGCAGAAUAGGAAAUGGUUAUCCCAUGGCACUUCAUGGUUCAAGUUAAAGGAAAGAGUUUGUCCAGAAAGGGACCUCCCCAUGAGAGAAAGUAGGGGCAUUAUGGAAAAUUCACUCCAUCUAAUUAAUAAAAGUCCCAUCCCACCAUCUCCCCUUCAAGUGAGUACCCAAGCAACAACUGCAACAUCACAGCACAGCAGCCAUUCCAACCCCCUCCCUCC
rnacentral:lncRNA from 1 species